AUACGGAGGGUGCAAGCGUUAUUCGGAAUCACUGGGCGUAAAGGACGCGUAGGCGGGUUGGCAAGUCAGAUGUGAAAUCCUACAGCUUAACUGUAGAACUGCAUUUGAAACUGCUAACCUAGAGUAUGGGAGAGGGAGAUGGAAUUAGUGGUGUAGGGGUAAAAUCCGUAGAUAUCACUAGGAAUACCGAAAGCGAAGGCGAUCACCUGGAACAUAACUGACGCUAAGGCGUGAAAGCGUGGGGAGCAAACAGGAUUAGAUACCCGAGUAGUCC
rnacentral:rRNA from 1 species